UUUGUACUCCCUCCGUCCCAAAAUUCUUGUCUUAAAUUUGUCUAAAUACGGAUGUAUCUAGUUACAUUUUAGUGUUAGAUACAUCCGUAUCUAAACAAAUGUAAGACAGGAAUUUUGGGACGGAGGGAAUACUAC
rnacentral:pre_miRNA from 1 species